CGUCCAGCACUCAGCAAUCUCCCACGUCAUAAGCUUACGCAGUGAACCACAGAUUACUCGCCUCCUAUUUAAGUCUCCUUUCCGGCACUGCGGUCUAAAGUUACAAACUGCCCGCGCUGCACUUCUGCUUCAGACAUCAUCACAGCCGAACGCCUCUGAGACGACAGGAUGAGUUCACGUGUUCUGAAGAUUAAAGAUGGGAGGUUGGUGAAAGCCUUGGAUUUUGGAGACGGAUUCAAGCUGUGUGCUGUUGACUCCCAACCUAAUGAUGAUACGGUCUAUAUAGAGAAACACUCCUCAAACAACUGGAUAGCUUUUAAAUUCAAUCUGACGGGGAAAGACUAUUUCCUAAAAUGGAAUAAACAGUCCCUUGAGCUGGUUCCGCCGGAUCAGCUGGAUAGUGACUCAGUGGAGUACUGGUUUCAGAAGCACAACUAUGGAGGCAGCGAACACUACGGCCUCAAAACUGUGCGUCAACCACAGAAAUACGUCUGCAUAUCUCAGGAAGACAGACGACGGCUUUUCAGCCUCAGUGACACCAUGCAGGAUUUGGCUCAAGUCAAAGAUGAGGCAAAGUAGAUGCGUUCGCCAACAGCCUUCUGCACACAUUUACUGCUGUCCGCUCUGUCUAUGAACCCAAGAGGAAGACAGUUUAUCUUUAGCUGAAUCCAAGCAGAACUCUCUCUUCCUGCUGUGCUUUGAUAAAGUAGCUGCACUAACUAGAGCUACAAAGUCUGGCUGGCUCAUUUUGUAUUCGUGGUAUAGGGAGAAAAAUGCUUUGGUGGUUGGGUUGGGUGGUAAAAGCACAGAUUAAAACUUUGCUCUUUUUUUACAUAUUGUAAACUACAGGUGGUGCAAAGGGAUGAGACUACUGGCCAAUCUCAAAGAAACUGUACAAACAUCAUCCAUAUGUUUUCAAAAAGAAUUUAUUACAAAUCCCAAUUCUUUAGAUUUUCGUAUUCAUCGUUCCCUUGUGAUUGCAAUAUACACUCUCUGUAUCUUUCACCUGCCACACUCGGCGACAAAAGUUUGUUCUUGGCACCACAACAAACAGAUUGAAGAAUUCGGAAAAAGCACCACAUGUCAGGUUUUUGUACAAUGUGAGUUUCUAGCCCCUGAUA